UACGGAGGGUGCAAGCAUUAAUCGGAUUUAUUGGGCGUAAAGGGCGCGUAGGCGGGUUUGUAAGUUAGGUGUGAAAUUCCGAAGCUCAACUUCGGGACUGCAUUUGAAACUGCGAAUCUGGAGGGAUGGCGGAGAAAAUGGAAUUCCACAAGUAGCGGUGAAAUGCGUAGAUAUGUGGAAGAACACCGGUGGCGAAGGCGGUUUUCUAGCUAUUACCUGACGCUAAAGCGCGAGAGCAAGGGGAGCAAACAGG
rnacentral:rRNA from 1 species